CCUCUCGAUUUAUAUGAGAGGUCCCGCCUGCCCAGUGAUUUAAUUCAACGGCCGCGGUAUCCUAACCGUGCGAAGGUAGCGUAAUCACUUGUUCUUUAAAUAAGGACUAGUAUGAACGGCACCACGAGGGUUAUACUGUCUCCUUUUUUCAAUCAAUGAAACUGAUCUUCCCGUGAAGAAGCGGGAAUGUAAGUAUAAGACGAGAAGACCCUAUGGAGCUUUAAACAAUUAUGGCACUGGCCGCUACUUUUACCCUCCUGAGAUAUAAUUAUUAUAUAGGCCAGCAUGACUAUUAGUUUUAGGUUGGGGUGACCGCGGAGCAAAAAUUAACUUCCACGUUGAACGGAGUUAUUCCUGAGCUAUAAGCUACAACUUUAAGCACCAAUAAACUGACAUCAAUUGACCCAACAUGUUGAGCAACGAACCAAGUUACCCUAGGGAUAACAGCGCAAUCCAUUUCAAGAGCCCCUAUCGACAAAUGGGUUUACGACCUCGAUGUUGGAUCAGGGUAUCCUGGUGGUGCAGCCGCUACUAAAGGUUCGUUUGUUCAACGAUUAAAACCCU
rnacentral:rRNA from 1 species